rnacentral:rRNA from 1 species
AUCAGCUUGUUGGUGAGGUAACGGCUCACCAAGGCGUCGACGGGUAGCCGGCCUGAGAGGGUGACCGGCCACACUGGGACUGAGACACGGCCCAGACUCCUACGGGAGGCAGCAGUGGGGAAUAUUGCACAAUGGGCGAAAGCCUGAUGCAGCAACGCCGCGUGAGGGACGACGGCCUUCGGGUUGUAAACCUCUUUUAGCAGGAAAGAAGCGAAAGUGACGGUACCUGCAGAAAAAGCGCCGGCUAACUACGUGCCAGCAGCCGCGGUAAUACGUAGGGCGCAAGCGUUAUCCGGAAUUAUUGGGCGUAAAGAGCUCGUAGGCGGUCUGUCGCGUCUGCUGUGAAAACCCGAGGCUCAACCUCGGGCCUGCAGUGGGUACGGGCAGACUAGAGUGCGGUAGGGGAGAUUGGAAUUCCUGGUGUAGCGGUGGAAUGCGCAGAUAUCAGGAGGAACACCGAUGGCGAAGGCAGAUCUCUGGGCCGUAACUGACGCUGAGGAGCGAAAGGGUGGGGAGCAAACAGGCUUAGAUACCCUGGUAGUCCACCCCGUAAACGUUGGGAACUAGUUGUGGGGUCCAUUCCACGGAUUCCGUGACGCAGCUAACGCAUUAAGUUCCCCGCCUGGGGAGUACGGCCGCAAGGCUAAAACUCAAAGGAAUUGACGGGGACCCGCACAAGCGGCGGAGCAUGCGGAUUAAUUCGAUGCAACGCGAAGAACCUUACCAAGGCUUGACAUAUACGAGAACGCUGCAGAAAUGUAGAACUCUUUGGACACUCGUAAACAGGUGGUGCAUGGUUGUCGUCAGCUCGUGUCGUGAGAUGUUGGGUUAAGUCCCGCAACGAGCGCAACCCUCGUUCUAUGUUGCCAGCACGUAAUGGUGGGAACUCAUGGGAUACUGCCGGGGUCAACUCGGAGGAAGGUGGGGAUGACGUCAAAUCAUCAUGCCCCUUAUGUCUUGGGCUUCACGCAUGCUACAAUGGCCGGUACAAAGGGCUGCAAUACCGCGAGGUGGAGCGAAUCCCAAAAAGCCGGUCCCAGUUCGGAUUGAGGUCUGCAACUCGACCUCAUGAAGUCGGAGUCGCUAGUAAUCGCAGAUCAGCAACGCUGCGGUGAAUACGUUCCCGGGUCUUGUACACACCGCCCGU